rnacentral:rRNA from 1 species
GAUGAACGCUGGCGGCGUGCCUAAUACAUGCAAGUCGAGCGAACAGAUGAGGAGCUUGCUCCUCUGACGUUAGCGGCGGACGGGUGAGUAACACGUGGAUAACCUACCUAUAAGACUGGGAUAACUUCGGGAAACCGGAGCUAAUACCGGAUAAUAUAUUGAACCGCAUGGUUCAAUAGUGAAAGACGGUUUUGCUGUCACUUAUAGAUGGAUCCGCGCCGCAUUAGCUAGUUGGUAAGGUAACGGCUUACCAAGGCAACGAUGCGUAGCCGACCUGAGAGGGUGAUCGGCCACACUGGAACUGAGACACGGCCCAGACUCCUACGGGAGGCAGCAGUAGGGAAUCUUCCGCAAUGGGCGAAAGCCUGACGGAGCAACGCCGCGGGAGUGAUGAAGGUCUUCGGAUCGUAAAACUCUGUUAUUAGGGAAGAACAAAUGUGUAAGUAACUAUGCACGUCUUGACGGUACCUAAUCAGAAAACCACGGCUAACUACGU